rnacentral:hammerhead_ribozyme from 1 species
GUCCUGCUGACGAGUCCCAAAUAGGACGAAACGCGCGUCCUCGAU